rfam:Toxocara canis scaffold175, whole genome shotgun sequence.
CGGGCAGUAGCUCGAUGAUAGAGCUCUCGCUUCAUAUGCGGGAAGACCCGGGUUCGAUUCCCGGCUGCCUCC